CAAUUUUAACGUUUAUAUAGAUUAUGGAAUUAUGGAUUCUGAUUAAUUUAAGGGUUGUAAUUUAGGGGUUAUAGAUUAAGAGUCAGGGAUUUAAGGUUUAUGGAUUCGGUGUCAGGUUAGGCUUUAGGGUUUAGAUUAAUUAGUGUGUUUUAAUUUUUAUAAAAAUAUGGUUUAAGGGUUAGGGGUUAGGGAUUCGGGUUAGGAUUUAGGGUUUUGAUUAAUUAAUAUUUUUUAAUUUAUGUAUUAAAUAAGGUUUAGGGUUAGUACAAGUUAGGGUCGGGUUAGUGGUUUAAGGGUUAGAAGAUAAGAGUUAGUGAUUUAGGGUUUAAAAAUUCGGGGUCAGGUUAGGCCUAUUGGGAACUGUAAUGGCGCUGCAAAAUUUUUAAUUUAUUUAAG
rnacentral:lncRNA from 1 species